GACGAACGCUGGCGGCGUGCCUAAUGCAUGCAAGUCGCACGCAGUCGCUUCGGCGGCUGAGUGGCGCACGGCUGAGGAACACGUGGGUACCUGCCCUGCAGUGGGGGAUAACAGCGCGAAAGCGCUGCUAAUCCCGCAUACGGUCGCGCAAGCGAAGAAAGCCGCAAGGCGCUGCGGGAGGGACCUGCGGCCUAUCAGGU
rnacentral:rRNA from 1 species